CCUUUCCAAUGCAGCUGAACUGCGGCGGUUGAGCUAGCUACUUCGGUGGCGGCUCCCUCCCAGUUUCCUGUAUUACACCCUUGUUUUUUUGCGCACUCAAUGUUUCCUCGGCGGGCUUGCCUGCCGACUGGACAACCUUAUAACCUUUUUUAAUUUCAAUCAGCGUCUGAAAUGAUCAAAAAUCAUUA
rnacentral:misc_RNA from 1 species